CACGUAGGGUGCAAGCGUUAAUCGGAAUUACUGGGCGUAAAGCGUGCGCAGGCGGUUGUGCAAGACCGAUGUGAAAUCCCCGGGCUUAACCUGGGAAUGGCAUUGGUGACUGCACGGCUAGAGUGUGUCAGAGGGGGGUAGAAUUCCACGUGUAGCAGUGAAAUGCGUAGAGAUGUGGAGGAAUACCGAUGGCGAAGGCAGCCCCCUGGGAUAACACUGACGCUCAUGCACGAAAGCGUGGGGAGCAAACAGG
rnacentral:rRNA from 1 species